AUUCACCACAUUGAACUUCGGUUGUACAUUGGUACGAAACAAAGAAGAUUAACAUGGCCCUUGUGCAAAGAUGACAUGCAAAUUCAUGAAGCAUUCCACAUUUUU